rnacentral:rRNA from 1 species
AGAGUUUGAUCCUGGCUCAGAUUGAACGCUGGCGGCAGGCCUAACACAUGCAAGUCGAACGCUUCUCUUUUCACCGGAGCUUGCUCCAACGAAAAGAGAAGAGCGGCGGACGGGUGAGUAACACGUGGGCAACCUGCCCAACAGAGGGGGAUAACACUUGGAAACAGGUGCUAAUACCGCAUACGUCAUCAUUCCACAUGGAAAGAUGACAAAAGACGCUACGGUGUCACUGUUGGAUGGGCCCGCGCUGCAUUAGUUAGUUGGUGAGGUAACGGCUCACCAAGACCAUGAUGCAUAGCCGACCUGAGAGGGUGAUCGGCCACACUGGGACUGAGACACGGCCCGGACUCCUACGGGAGGCAGCAGUAGGGAAUCUUCGGCAAUGGACGGAAGUCUGACCGAGCAACGCCGCGUGAGUGAAGAAGGUUUUCGGAUCGUAAAACUCUGUUGUUAGAGAAGAACAGGUGUAAGAGUAACUGCUUACAUUUCGACGGUAUCUAACCAGAAAGUCACGGCUAACUACGUGCCAGCCGCCGCGGUAAUUC